UACGUAGGGUGCGAGCGUUAAUCGGAAUUAUUGGGCGUAAAGAGCUCGUAGGCGGUUUGUCGCGUCUGCUGUGAAAUCCCGAGGCUCAACCUCGGGCCUGCAGUGGGUACGGGCAGACUAGAGUGCGGUAGGGGAGAUUGGAAUUCCUGGUGUAGCGGUGGAAUGCGCAGAUAUCAGGAGGAACACCGAUGGCGAAGGCAGAUCUCUGGGCCGUAACUGACGCUGAGGAGCGAAAGCGUGGGGAGCGAACAGG
rnacentral:rRNA from 1 species